rnacentral:tRNA from 1 species
GCCUGGGUGGCUCAGUGGUUGAGCGUCUGCCUUUGGCUCAGGUCGUGAUCCCAGGGUUCUGGGAUCGAGUCCCACAUCAGGCU